AGUGAACGCUGGCGGUAGGCCUAACACAUGCAAGUCGAACGGCCGCACAGUAAGAGCUUGCUCUUACGGGUGGCGAGUGGCGGACGGGUGAGGAAUACAUCGGAAUCUACUUUUUCGUGGGGGAUAACGUAGGGAAACUUACGCUAAUACCGCAUAUGACCUACGGGUGAAAGCAGUGGAUCUUCGGACCUUGCGCGAUUGAAUGAGCCGAUGUCGGAUUAGCUAGUUGGCGGGGUAAAGGCCCACCAAGGCGACGAUCCGUAGCUGGUCUGAGAGGAUGAUCAGCCACACUGGAACUGAGACACGGUCCAGACUCCUACGGGAGGCAGCAGUGGGGAAUAUUGGACAAUGGGCGCAAGCCUGAUCCAGCCAUACCGCGUGGGUGAAGAAGGCCUUCGGGUUGUAAAGCCCUUUUGUUGGGAAAGAAAAGCAGCAGGUUAAUACCCCGCUGUUCUGACGGUACCCAAAGAAUAAGCACCGGCUAACUUCGUG
rnacentral:rRNA from 1 species